rnacentral:rRNA from 1 species
UGGGGAAUAUUGUACAAUGGGGGAAACCCUGAUGCAGCGACGCCGCGUGAUUUAGAAGGCCCUCGGGUUGUAAAAAUCCUUUCUAUGGGAAGAAUAUGACAGUACCAUAGGAAUAAGGACCGGCUAAUUACGUGCCAGCAGCCGUGGUAAUACGUAAGGUGCGAACGUUUUCUGGAAUAUUCGGGCGUAAAGGGUACGUAGGUGGGUAAGCAAGUUAGAAGUGAAAUCCUAUAGCUCAACUAUAAUAAGCUUUUAAAACUGCUCAUCUUGAAGUAUGGAAGGGAGAGUGGAAUUCCUUGUGUAGCGGUGAAGUGCGCAGAUAUUAGGAGGAAUACCGGUGACGAAGGCGACUUUCUGGCCAGAACCUGACGCUGAGGUGCGGAAGCGUGGGUAGCAGACAGG